UACGUAGGGUGCGAGCGUUAAUCGGAAUUACUGGGCGUAAAGCGUGCGCAGGCGGUUCGUUGUGUCGGUGGUGAAAGCCCCGGGCUUAACCUGGGAAUAGCCAUGGAAACUGGCGAACUGGAGUGUGGCAGAGGGGGGUGGAAUUCCGCGUGUAGCAGUGAAAUGCGUAGAUAUCUGAAGGAACAUCAGUGGCGAAAGCGACUUCCUGGACCAAUACUGACGCUCAUGUGCGAAAGCGUGGGGAGCAAACAGG
rnacentral:rRNA from 1 species